rnacentral:rRNA from 1 species
UACGAAGGGUGCAAACGUUGCUCGGAUUCAUUGGGCGUAAAGGGUGCGUAGGCGGCGCGGUAAAUCGGGUGUGAAAUCUCGGAGCUUAACUCCGAAACUGCAUUCGAUACUGCCGUGCUUGAGGACUGGAGAGGAGACUGGAAUUUACGGUGUAGCGGUGAAAUGCGUAGAUAUCGUAAGGAAGACCAGUGGCGAAGGCGGGUCUCUGGACAGUUCCUGACGCUGAGGCACGAAGGUCAGGGGAGCAAACGGG